rnacentral:rRNA from 1 species
UUGGUACACGGAUUAAAUGGAGGAUCUGGUAGUAACUGCGAGUGAAGUGGGAGAAGCCCAGCACCAAGGUUCUCGGCCGUAUGGUCGAUGAACGAUGCGGUGUUUGGCACGUCUAUUGUGCGUCGGACGGAGCGACAAAGUUCCCUUGACUGGGCUCGUGCCCCGAAGCGGGUGUGAGGCCUUUAGUUGCUCGUGCGCCGGCGUAUCUCGGGCGUGUCUAGAGUCGGGUUGUUUGGGAGUACAGCCCAAAGUAGGUGGUAAACUCCAUCUAAGGCUAAAUACGUGCACGAGUCCGAUAGCGAACAAGUACCGUGAGGGAAAGUUGAAAAGUACUUUGAAGAGAGAGUUCAAGAGCACGUGAAACUGCCUAGAGGCAAGCGGAUAGGGCCACAUGAGCCAGCUGGUCGGAUUCAACUACGCCUGCUUGUGAUGAGUCGGUGCGCGGAUAUUGCCGGGUUCAUCCUCGGUGUACCGUGGUGCUGGCCUUCGCGGGUCGUUGUAGCGUACUUUCGGCUAGCGUAUGGUAGCCGCGAUCAAUUGGCUGAGGUGCCAAGCGCGUGAGGAGGUAGCCGCGGGUGCUCCUUGUGGGCGCUGUUAACGUCGGUGAUACUUGCGCGUUGGACCAACCUCGGUCGAUUGUGGAGCGACUGCAGUGUACGCAUCUCUCGAAGGUGCUUGCUGCUCUGUCGGGUUUGGUCACGCGGUGCUGGACUGCUGUGCAGUGCUGUGUUGCGUGGCUGGACUGCGGGCGGGGUGUGUUAGCGAAAGCGAGGUGCACUGCUGGUCAGCGGCUUGCUGGUCGCCUAUCCGUCCCGUCUUGAAACACGGACCAAGGAGUUGAACAUGUAGGCGAGUCAUUUGGUUGUAGAAACCAAAAGGCGCAGUGAAAGCGAAAUUAGCCAAGAUCCGCUGGCUCACGCUGGCGGCGCAUUGGCGACUCGUCACAUUGCCGCGUGCAGGUGGCGAAGUUCGAGCCUACACGUUCAGACCCGAAAGAUGGUGAACUAUGCUCGAGCAGGACGAAGCCAGAGGAAACUCUGGUGGAGGUCCGCAGCGAUUCUGACGUGCAAAUCGAUCGUCUGACUUGAGUAUAGGGGCGAAAGACUAAUCGAACCAUCUAGUAGCUGGUUCCCUCCGAAGUUUCCCUCAGGAUAGCUGGUACUCGAGGGCAGUUGUACUUCGAUAAAGCGAAUGAUUAGAGUGUUCUGGGUCGAAACGACCUAAACCUAUUCUCAAACUUUAAAUGGGUACGAAAUCGGGCUCGCUUAGUUGGAGCCCGAGUGAGAAUGUGUGGAGUGCCAAGUGGGCCACUUUUGGUAAGCAGAACUGGCGCUGUGGGAUGAACCAAACGUCUGGUUAAGGUGCCGGACACGGACGCUCAUGAGAAACCAUAAAAGGUGUUGGUUGAUAUAGACAGCAGGACGGUGGCCAUGAAGUCGGAAUCUUUAUGGAGGGUUCAUUCCGCGUGCUUGG